GAUCCCAGGCCGAGUUUUCGCUUUUAUAACGGUUAGGCGAACAACUAGGCCUGGUACUAGUUGUCUGCGCAUGCGUCGGUCGUUCGUCAGAUUCUGACGAAUGGAUAUUCUCGUUCACUUUCGUGACAUUUAUAUUCGUGUACUAUCGUGUACUAGAAGUCAGUUCCCGUUUUAUCAUUAUUGGAAUUGAUUGGAAUGGCUCUUAGCUGAAGCUUCUCUCUUCUCUGAAGCUUAGAAAACAUUAUUCUGAAGACUGAACAACAAGGGAAGAGGUAUAAAGCUUUGUCAAGCUUGUUAAGGAGCAAUGGCUACUAUCCAGCUAUCCCAACAUUGUUCCUCUUGGCUAUACUAACGGACGAGACUGGACAGUUUGAGGACUGGAGUAUGACCUGCUCGUUCGAGCGUUGCUGGGUAGCUCAGAGUCAUCAACGUUUCUCAAGCAAAGUUUAACUGAGUUACGAGUUGGAGCCUAGAAUCAAAGAAGUCCAGCAGCCUGCUAAAUCGUUUUGAAACGUAAUUUGAAGGCAUUCAAUCAUCUUGAAGUUGCCCUGGGUCACUGUAAUCGUGCUGCAGCACAACUGGCAACUCCCCAGGCCUUUGUGAAGCAGCUCCCUAUAGGCUAUGUGCAUCUUUUGUGUACUCACUCUGUGCAUUUUCUGUGUACAAAUUUCUAUUAUUGAUUUAUUAAAUAUUUUUGCCGAC